rnacentral:rRNA from 1 species
UACGUAGGGUGCAAGCGUUGUCCGGAAUUAUUGGGCGUAAAGCGCGAGUAGGCGGGAUGGCAAGUCGGGUGUGAAAGCCCUCAGCUCAACUGAGGAAGUGCGCCCGAAACUACCGUUCUUGAGUGCCGGAGAGGGUGGCGGAAUUCCCGGUGUAGAGGUGAAAUUCGUAGAUAUUCGCAAGAACACCAGUGGCGAAGGCGGCUCACUGGCCCAUAACUGACCGCUGAGGCACGAAAGCGUGGGGAGCAAACAGGG